UGUCACGUGAUGAGGAACUAGCAAUAACCAGGCCUUGGGGAAAAAAUUCUAACUGGUGGAGCUCCUGGUAACCGGGUGCGAUGGGGUCUUAAGAUCUGAGGAUUGGAGCCAUCUGAUUUUUACCUCUGGUACUUUAGUCUCGGGUUCUCUUCUGUGUUGGGGAAAUGAGUGCCCUCUCACCAUGUCUGGCUGGCGGCGACCCAGAUGCCAUGUGAUGGUCAUUUGAAGACAGGCCUGCCGGACAUCAGGCCUCCCAGGCGCCAGACAUUGCCCUCAGGGACCUGGGCUUUCAGCUGUCCAUACCUGGCCCUGGUUGAUGGCUGCAUGCUGGGCAGUGCACGUGAAGAUGCACAUGGUGAGGAAAUGGCAGAGUUGACCCUGGGACUGGAAGGAGACAGGGAAACCUGUGCAGGAAAGGAAUUAGAGUUAGAAGCCACGGCAUAAGAGGAGAGAAACAAAGGCUGAUCUUUUGGGAUGCCCAUAUUUUAGAAUUGAUGAGUAUUUGUUCAUUUUAUUUAGAUAUAGUUGCAUCAGACAUGGGUUUGAGUCCUGGCUGAAUCACUUACACUUGGUUACCAUAGGCCAAUUACUUAACCUCUUUGAACUUAAGUUUUUUCACCUGUGAAAUAUGGGCAAUAGCUAUAUUGAAAAUGAGAUGAUGUAUCAAAAUCACCUGGUAGGUAAUACAUGCUCAAUAAGUAAUAAUUAUUGUUAAUAUGGAAGGACUGGGGCUGAAAAGUUCUGAGUGACCAAAUAUCCCUUGCCUCAAAAAGUGGUUAAGAAUUGAGGACGCAUGGCCGGUGAUUCAUGUCUGUAAUCCCAGCCCUUUGGGAGGCCAGGGCAUGAGAAUUGCUGGAAGAUGAGUGACAGAGUAAGACCCUGUCUCCAUUUAAAAAUUAAAAAAUAAAUAAAUAAAGAAAGAAUAGAGAAUGCUGACUCUUAUUCCUGGACAGAAUGACAAGUCUGUGUUAAAUAAGGUGGGGAACAGGAGAAGUCAUGGAUUUCCAGUGUCACAGCUAAGAGGGGCUUUCCACAGGGGUUAUCUCUGGCCACUCAUUUUACAGUGAAUGUGGGGGUUCAGAGACUGAUAAUUUUUUUUUUAUUUUUUGAGACGGACUCUUGCUCUGUUGCUCAGGCUGGAGUACAGUGUCGCAAUCUCAGCUCACUGCAACCUCUGCUUCUUGGGUUCAAGUGAUUCCCCUGCCUCAGCUGCCCAAGUAGUGGGGAUUACAGGUGCCUACCACCAAGCCUGGCUAAUUUUUGUAUUUUUAGUAGAGACAGGGUUUUACCAUGUUGGCCAGGCUGGUUUUGAACUCCUGGCCUCAGGUGAUCUCCUCACCUUGGGAGAGCUCUCCCAAAGUGCUGGGAGACCCGAUAAUUUUAUCAGUUGAUUGGAAUAAAUAUAAUUACUCUCAUUUUAUAGAUAAGAAAAUCAAAGCCCAUAGAGAAUAAACCGUCAGGAAGGCUAGUUGGAAAAAGGGAGAGGCUGACCUUGAACUCAGGUUCCCGACUGCUAAUCCCAUGCCAUUUUUAAUUAGCACACUGCCUCUUAAAACGUCUGUUGGGAAAAUUAGACAGAGGUGGGCUAUGUGAAGUGAAAGAGAAUGGGGGGGCCAGUUAGUGGAGGUUAAAGUUAACGUGUGUCAGAAACUGAGUGUCAUUGGCUCUUCUUAUAUUGAAAUCUAAUCUCCAUUAUGAUGGUAUUUGGAGGUGGAGUCUCUGGGAGAUAAUUAGGGCAUGAGGGUGCAGCCCUCUUGAAUGGGUUUAAUACCUUUAUGAGUGGAGGGCAGACUGCUAGUUUGCUGUCUCUCUGCUAUGUGAGGAUACAAGGAGAAAUUGGGUGUCUGCAGCUUGGAAAAGGGCCCUCACCAGAACCUGGUUUUGGACUUCCAGCCUCCAGAACUUCGAGGAAUACAUUUGUAUUCUUUAUAAGCCACCUAGUCUAUAGUGCUUUUUUGAGAUGGAGUUUCGCUGUGUCGCCCAGGCUGGAGUGCAAUGGCGUGAUCUUGGCUCACCGCAACAUCUACCUCAGGUUCAAGCAAUUCUCCUGCCUCAGCCUCCUGAGUAGCUGGGACUACAGGUGUGCGGCACCAUGCCUGGCUAAUUUUUGUAUUUAUAGUAGAGAGAGGGUUUGACUAUGUUGACCAGGCUGGUCUGGAACUCCUGACCUCAUGAUCCCUCCACUUUGGCCUUCAAAAGUCCUGGGAUUACAGGUGUGAGCCACCAUGCCCCACCAGUGUUUAUAGUAGUCCAAACUGACUAGGAGCCUAAGGGACAGUACAGAGAAGAACUAGAGAGAAUUUGGUCCUGGAAGGGUGGGGUGGCACAACCAGCUUCCCCAGGGAGAGGAUCCCUCCAGGGUAAGGAUGUUUGCCACAUUCCCAGGAUUGGCCAUAAAGGCUCCCCAGUAAAUGUUUUUCGUUGUCCCACAGAGGCAGAUGGUCUGAAGUGUGAGAGGGAGAGGCUGAAGGAUGAGUGACAGCAGUCCAUGCUGGUGCCUGUGUGAUGAGCUUGAGCUCAGCAAAGGCUAUUUCUUCCUCAAAGGUUCAAAUGUAGGGAGUGAGGGUUGACUAAACAUAGUGGCGAUUCUAGCCAGGGGGUGAUUAGGGAGGGAGGGUUGGGUUAGCCAAAGAAAUCUGAGCCCCUAGGAUCAGGGUGCUGAAUUUGGGUUUGAGGCAAAGCACAUAUAGGGUUGAGCUCACAUCCACAGCUGACCUUGCACUGUAGCAGGUGUGCAGGAUCCCUGGACCCUCUGGGUGUGUUGGACAGUAGCAGAUAGGAAGAGAGGGAGGGAAAGCCAGGUGGGUCAUUGGGGACUUUGGAGGGAAAAUCUUCCCAUUUACAUCCUCAGGUAGGAAAACAGGGAACCAUCAAGAGAGACUGUGAGCCCAGAGGGACUGUGUAGACCCCUCAUGGCUGUGGCUCUGGCCUGGUGGGUGCCAGGAUAUGGCAGCUCAGGGGCAUCUGUGACGGGUGGGGUGGGACUAGGGGUUGAUGGCCAGGGUCUCCAAGGAGGACAGCCCUUGGGUCUCUAGAAUUGUGCUGAGUCUGAGGAGGUGGGAGUGGGAUGCACAUGCUUUCCUGUGUGGAGGGAGGGAGGUGUGAUGAGGGGCUGGGGUCCUGUCCCAGAAGGACAGGGCUGGGAAGGGGCCCUGGCAGAAUCUCUCCAGCGCUUCUGUCUCUGGAACGGAUCUUACCUCGGUCCUGGGCCUGGCACAGCCCCACCUCUGUGAUCUCGCGACACCAGGCCUGCAGCUCAGGGUCCCCACUCACCACGUCAUCUCUUUGGUAGAAGAGGUGGACGAUCCCCUUCACAUACCUGCCCGGGGGAGAAGGUGCUUGAGCCUCUGAGAGCAGAAGGCCCUGGCCUCUGGUCUCUAUUCUUUCUGUGACAUCUGCCCAACGCUUCCUUAGUAUCUGGGAAAAGAGCUUGCCUUGGGACAUCCACAGCCCUCUAAACACACUAGCAUCUCAUGGAAGCAGAUGUUUAGGAAUUCUCAGAGUUGCUGUCAUACAUCCUCAGAAAAUCCUGAUUUUUCCAGACCCCUCCCAUUCUCCCCCCACAGUUCCCCUCACCUCCUCUCUCUGCCCCAUCCCAGUCUCCUCAUUUUCAGAGCCACCCACCAUGUCCUCACUGUUCUUCAUCUCUCCCCAGGAUUGAAUUCUCUGCUUCUCCUGUCUGGACCCUCUAAUUUCCUCGUUGCUUUUGCCCCAUACUGGCCUCAGGCCAGAGGCCCCCUUUUCCCCUCCUUACUCACCUGGCAAUGAUCUCCCAGAGCCGUAAAGCGUCGUGGGCAUAGAGAGCACUUGGGAGUCCCAGUAGGCCCCGGUCAGCCAGGUCAUCAGGAGGACAGAGUGAGCAGUAGGUCAGCUGAGCUGUCGCGCAACGGAGCAACUGCACGUGGCCCCCUCCACCUGUGCUCACUGCCUGGGACAGGAGAUGACAGGUCUUAGAGGGGAAACAGGGCUGGAGAACCAUCACAUCUUCCAUAAAGAAGGGCAGAUGUGGGAUUUCCAGAUAUGAAGACAUGGGUAUAAAAUGGAUAGGUUCACAGGUUAAGAGUGAGGACAUUCCCACUUGAUGGGUCUUAUAUCCUGAAAGUGUCAGCUCAUGGAGAGAUGGAUGAGGCAGUCCCAUGCCCUGUACCCUUCUCACCUUAUCAAAUAUUCCUCCAUCUGAGAUGAGUUGGGUCCGGGCCCGGGUGUUGAUUUCCAUGGUGUAGCGGAUAUGGGGGAUCAGGAGCUGGGGAGGAGGAGAUUGGAGGGCAUGGCUUAGUGGAGGCCAUGCUUGGGUCCUUCCUGGUAGAGCCUGGCACCCAGCAUAGCACUUUCUCCUUUUGCUGCUUUCCUUGACAGGCUGGUCUCCUGCUGCUCUGAUCAUUCACUCUUGUGCUCUCCAAUUUCUCAGCGAGUUGAGCUCUGGAGCCAGACUGAUCAGAAUUUUAACCUACACUUUAUGCCUCAUUUAAAUCUGCAAUCUCUUCAUUUGUCAACAGGGGGCAGUAAUAGACUCUCUUAUCUCAGGGGCAGUGGUGAUGCUCACCUAAGUGAUGUAUGGAGAGUGUUCAGUACACACAAGAGUCCUGGAAUCGUAGCUGUCCUUUUCAUUGUUUUCACCUUGAAUAUAGGUGUCUUAUGAAUCAGCCCCUUGUGAUUUUCUUUGCUCCCUCCUCUGUCAUUCACAUUCUCCUAAACUAGCCUCUCUACUCAUUAGCAAAGCUGCAUCUCCAUCUUUUAGUUGGUUCAGAGCUGGGUUUCUUUAGGGGACGGGUUGGGAGAGAACUUUUGGUCAGAACUAGAAGAGCUCCAUUCAGCUACCUGCUUUUUUUUUUUUUUUUUUUUUUGAGGCGGAGUCUUGCUCUGUCACCCAGGCUGGAGUGCAGUGGGAUGAUCUCAGCACACUGCAACCUCCGCCUCCCAGGUUCAAGCAAUUCUCUGCCUCAGCCUCCUGAGUAGCUGGGUUUACAGCUGCCCCCCACCACACUCAGCUAAUUUUUGUAUUUUUGGUAGAGACGGGGUUUCACCAUCUUGGCCAGGCUGGUCUUGAACUCCUGACCUUGUGAUCCACCUGCCUUGGCUUCCCAAAGUGCUAGGAUUACAGGCGUAAGCCACCACACUUGGCCUCAGCUUCUUGCUUAAGCAAAUCUUUCUCUACCUCUACUUAGGCACUGUUGGGUCCCUCUUCUCCUUUUUUUCCUUAGCUAUUAAAAAGAGGCCACCUGAUUCUUAACAUGCAUGUUUUUUUUUUUUUUUGAGACAAUGUCUUGCUUUGUCACCAGGCUGGAGUGCAGUGGCGCGAUCUUGGCUCACUGCAGCCUCCGCCUUCUGGUUUCAACUGAUUCUCCUGCCUCAGUCUCCCAUAUAGCUGGGACUACAGACAUGUGCCACCACACCCAGCUACUUUUUUUGUAUUUUUAGUAGAGAGAGGGUUUCACGAUGUUGGCCAGGAUGGUCGCGAUCUCUUGACCUUGUGAUUUGCUCGCCUUGGCCUACCAAAGUGCUAGGAUUACAGAUGUGAGGCACUGUGCCUGGCUGUAUUUCUUCUUCUUCUUUUUUUAAAUCUUACAAUGUUUUUCCUCCUUUCCACAUAGCUAAUAUGCAGGUUUCAAGCAGUUUUGCUGUUUGUCUGAAUUGUUGAUGCUGGAUAUUGGCAAUGACCCAAGUGAUACCUUUGGUGUUAAGAUAUCAAAGCAACUCACAUUAAUCUGAAGCUUUUCAGAAGAUUCAUGAAAGAUGCCAAAUGUCACAAGCCCAAAGUCCGCAUGAGGAGAGAUGCCUAAGGAUGAACAGUCCCUAAUAGUAAUAAUUGCAAGAACUAGCUGGGUGAGGUGGCAUGUGCCUGCAAUCCAGGUUACUUGGGAGGCUGAGGCAGGAGGAUCAUUUGAGCCCAGGAAUUUGAGACUAGCUUGGGCAACAUAGCAAAACCCUGUCUCUACAAAAAAUAAAAAAAUGUUAGCCAGGCAUGGUGGUACACACCUGUAGUGCCAGCUACUCUGACGGCUGAGGUUAGAGGAUUGCUUCAGCCCAGGAGUUUGAAGCUGCAGUGAGUUAUGAUUACACCACUGAACUCCAGCCUGGGUGACAGAGUGAGAACUUGUCUCCAAAAAAAAAUUGCGAGGCCAGGUGCGGUGGCUCAUGCCUGUAAUCCCAGCACUUUGGGAGGCCAAGGCGGGCAGAUCAUCUGAGGUCAGGAGUUCGAGACCAGCCUGACUAACAUGGUGAAACCCCAUCUGUACUAAAAAUACAAAAAUUAGCUGGGCGUAUUGGUGAGUGCCUGUAAUCCCUACUACUCUGGAGGCUGAGACAGGAGAAUCUCUUGAACCCGGGAGGCGGAGGUUGCAGUGACUUGAGAUGGCGCCACUGCUCUCCAGCCUGGACAACACAGUGAGACUCCAUCUCCAAAAAACAAAAGGCAAGAACUAAUGUUUUUUGUAGCAUUUAGCUUGUGUCACACUAUUAAGUCAUUUUCACCUUUAACAACCUCACGAUGGAACAUGUGAGGACAUCUGGAAAUUACUGAGGCCAGGAUUCAGGACUGAGACCCCAGCAGUCCAAAGCCAGAGGCUGCACAGGUCACUGUUAGGACAUCUGCAGACUUAACCGUCAUGUGCAUCCACCAGCAAGUCCGCCGUCUGCCAGGGGAUGGCAUGACUGUGGUGAGUGGAGACAGCGAGAGGGCUGAACUAGGAAAGGGAACUGGGUGAACAGAGGCUUCAGUUGUUUAAGUGGAGCAGAGGAUGGGGACACAGGACACAGCUUGAGAUGAAUUAAAUCCAAUAUGCCAUUAAUCGGGCUGGUCUCCAUCUUGUCUCUGUUACCAAGGGGUCACUCCAGAGGUGGCACAGCUAUACUGGCCAGGCCUGGGGGAUCUGGGUGGAGGCCGCCAGCUGAAACACAAUUCAGUUGUUUUUACCCAGGACUCACUUGUGUAUCUUACCAAUACAUCUAACUCCGUGUACCUAAAACAAAACACCUCAUUUUCGCCGACUCUGGCUUGUUCUAACUUUACUGUUUCUGACAAUUACUCUGGUUUGUAAGCCUGUAUCAUUUUUGUGCCCCCUCUGCCAAGUUCCUUAUAUGUAAAGUAUCAUCAAGAUUUUGAGAACAUUUUUUUAAAGCAAACACAGGUUUUAUUUUGCCUUCUCCCUGGCAAUAUAUACUGAACUCACUGUUUUAUAAAAUUACAGUAUUUAUUUAUUAAAAAUUUUUUUUAAUCUAGAGACUGGGACUUGCUAUAUUGCCCAUGCUGGUCUUAAACUUCUGGUCUUAAGUGAUUAUACUGCUUUGGCCAGCCAAAGCACUGGGAUUACAGGCGUUAGCCACCACACCCAGCUCUUCAAACCACAGUAUUUCUAGGUUAGUACAGCAUACCCACCCCAUGGACAUACAGGUGUGGCAGAAGCUUGUACUGAUGGCUUUUCUCUGUCUUGCACCCAGGCACACUGUGGCUACUGUUUCAUCUGCUAUGUUUUAGGUUUUUUCCUUUUUGUUCCUGUCAUUACCAUGCUAGUGUACAUCUCUAUCCACCUUACUGUUGGGCAGGUAUGAGCGGCUUGCUGGCUGCUCUUCCUUGCCUUUUGAUCUGUUUUUUACUUAGCUGACUCCUCAUGAGUACAUUCUUCAUGAGUACUAGACUGUUCCAGGCUGUCUCAUGCGAUUCCAAACUCUAGUUCCAGAUAAUGUUCUCUGGUUGGCUCUUACGGGCUAAAUCUGUUUUUCUGGUUAAAUACUAAAUCUAAGGUAGGAAUACGGCUUGGGUUUUACUAAUAGUUUUCAAGCCCUACUGUGAGCGCACUGCUAGACUGUUAGAUCUCAGAAUUUCAGAGGGUUCCUAUAGAAUGUUAAGUGACUAAACUUCAUUAAAAUAAACUUAAUUAAAAUUAACAUCUCAAGAUAUUGA